rnacentral:rRNA from 1 species
CCUGCCGGACCUGACUGCUAUCGGAUUGAUACUAAGCCAUGCGAGUCUUUGUAGUAAUACAAGGCAGACGGCUCAGUAACACGUAGUCAACCUACCCUAUGGACAAGAAUAAUCUCGGGAAACUGGGCAUAAUUCUUGAUAGAUCAUAAUGCCUGGAAUGGUUUAUGGUUAAAAUGAUUCGUCGCCAUAGGAUGGGACUGCGGCCUAUCAGCUUGUUGGUGAGGUAAUGGCCCACCAAGGCGAUUACAGGUACGGGCUCUGAGAGGAGAAGCCCGGAGAUGGGUACUGAGACACGGACCCAGGCCCUAUGGGGCGCAGCAGGCGAGAAAACUUUGCAAUGUGCGAAAGCACGACAAGGUUAAUCCGAGUGAUUUCUGCUAAAGAAAUCUUUCACCAGUCAUAAAACCACUGAUGAAUAAGGGGUGGGCAAGUUCUGGUGUCAGCCGCCGCGGUAAAACCAGCACCUCAAGUGGUCAGGAUGAUUAUUGGGCCUAAAGCAUCCGUAGCCGGCUUUGUUAGUUUUCGGUUAAAUCCAUGUGCUCAACGCAUGGGCUGCCGAAAAUACUGCAAGGCUAGGGAGUGGGAGAGGUAGACGGUACUCAGUAGGAAGGGGUAAAAUCCUUUGAUCUAUUGAUGACCACCUGUGGCGAAGGCGGUCUACCAGAACACGUUCGACGGUGAGGGAUGAAAGCUGGGGGAGCAAACCGGAUUAGAUACCCGGGUAGUCCCAGCUGUAAACGAUGCAGACUCGGUGAUGCAUUGGCAUAAUAGCCAGUGCAGUGUCGCAGGGAAGCCGUUAAGUCUGCCGCCUGGGAAGUACGUACGCAAGUAUGAAACUUAAAGGAAUUGGCGGGGGAGCACCACAAGGGGUGAAGCCUGCGGUUCAAU